rnacentral:rRNA from 1 species
AGUGAACGCUGGCGGUAGGCCUAACACAUGCAAGUCGAACGGCAGCACAGUAAGAGCUUGCUCUUACGGGUGGCGAGUGGCGGACGGGUGAGGAAUACAUCGGAAUCUACUUUUUCGUGGGGGAUAACGUAGGGAAACUUACGCUAAUACCGCAUACGACCUACGGGUGAAAGCAGGGGAUCUUCGGACCUUGCGCGAUUGAAUGAGCCGAUGUCGGAGUAGCUAGUUGGCGGGGUAAAGGCCCACCAAGGCGACGAUCCGUAGCUGGUCUGAGAGGAUGAUCAGCCACACUGGAACUGAGCCACGGUCCAGAGUCCUACGGGAGGCAGCAGUGGGGAAUGUGGGACAAAGGGCGCAAGCCUGAUCCAGCCAGACCGCGUGGGUGAAGAAGGCCUUCGGGUCGUAAAGCCCUUUUGUUGGGAAAGAAAAGCAGCAGGUUAAUACCCCGCUGUUCUGACGGUACCCAAAGAAUAAGCACCGGCUAACUUCGUG